rnacentral:tRNA from 1 species
GUCAGGAUGGCCGAGUGGUCUAAGGCACCAGAUGCAAGGUCCUACCUUUCCCUCAGUUGGGUGUUUGGGUUUCUGAAUGGAGAUGUGGGUUCAAAUCCAACUCCUGACA